rnacentral:rRNA from 1 species
AGUGAACGCUGGCGGUAGGCCUAACACAUGCAAGUCGAACGGCAGCACAGUAAGAGCUUGCUCUUACGGGUGGCGAGUGGCGGACGGGUGAGGAAUACAUCGGAAUCUACUUUUUCGUGGGGGAUAACGUAGGGAAACUUACGCUAAUACCGCAUACGACCUACGGGUGAAAGCAGGGGAUCUUCGGACCUUGCGCGAUUGAAUGAGCCGAUGUCGGAUUAGCUAGUUGGCGGGGUAAAGGCCCACCAAGGCGACGAUCCGUGGCUGGUCUGAGAGGAUGAUCAGCCACACUGGAACUGAGACACGGUCCAGACUCCUACGGGAGGCAGCAGUGGGGAAUAUUGGACAAUGGGCGCAAGCCUGAUCCAGCCAUACCGCGUGGGUGAAGAAGGCCUUCGGGUUGUAAAGCCCUUUUGUUAGGAAAGAAAAGCAGCAGGUUAAUACCCCGCUGUUCUGACGGUACCCAAAGAAUAAGCACCGGCUAACUUCGUG